rnacentral:rRNA from 1 species
CUGGCGGCGUGCUUAACACAUGCAAGUCGAACGGCAAAGGGGACUUCGGUCCUGAGUAAAGUGGCGCACGGGUGAGUAACGCGUAGAUAACCUGUCUUCAUGUCUGGAAUAAUACGCCGAAAGGGGUACUAAUACCGGAUAUUCUUGCUUUUCAUAAGUUAUGCAAGCAAAGGUGGCCUCUGCAUAUGCUACUGCAUGAAGAGGGGUCUGCGUACCAUUAGCUAGUAGGUGGGGUAAUGGCCUACCUAGGCGACGAUGGUUAGCGGGUCUGAGAGGAUGAUCCGCCACACUGGCACUGGAACACGGGCCAGACUCCUACGGGAGGCAGCAGUGAGGAAUAUUGCGCAAUGGGGGAAACCCUGACGCAGCGACGCCGCGUGAGUGAAGGAAGGCCUUCGGGUCGUAAAGCUCUGUCAAGAGGAAAGAAGUGUACAAUGGCUAAUACCUGUUGUAUUUGACGGUACCUCUAAAGGAAGCACCGGCUAACUCCGUGCCAGCAGCCGC